AUCAUACGGGGAUCUUGCUGAAAGGCAGAUUCUGAGUCAGUGGGUCAGGGACUCUGCGUUUCUCACAUGCACUCAGGUGAUGGUGAUGC
rnacentral:pre_miRNA from 1 species